rnacentral:rRNA from 1 species
UUUAACGGCCGCGGUAUCUUGACCGUGCUAAGGUAGCGCAAUCAAUUGUCUCUUAAAUGGAGACCUGUAUGAAUGGCUUCUCGAGGGCUUAACUGUCUCCUUUUCUCGGUCAAUGAAAUUGAUCUCCCCGUGCAGAAGCGGGGAUAAGCACAUAAGACGAGAAGACCCUGUGGAGCUUUAGACGCUUGACGUAGCCUAAUGUUAAAUUAUCUGCCCUAAAAGAUAAUAAUUCAAAGUCCCUACUCUAAUGUCUUUGGUUGGGGCGACCAUGGAGUAAAAAGUAACCUCCACGUGGAAUACGGGUACUACCCAUUAAAACCAGGGGCUACCGCCCUAUUUAUCAGAAUUUCUGACCUUACAGAUCCGGCCCUGCCGAUCAACGAAUAGAGUUACCCCAGGGAUAACAGCGCAAUCUCCUUUAAAAGACCAUAUCUAAAAGGGGGUUUACGACCUCGAUGUUGGAUCAGGACAUCCUAUAGGGG